GGAGUGGUUGAGUCGGGCGGUCUCAGUUUAUCCCCUCGGGAAAAACCGUUGUCCUUCGCAAGGAGGACCGUGGGUUCGAAUCCCACCCUCUCCG
rnacentral:tRNA from 1 species